rnacentral:rRNA from 1 species
UACGUAGGGGGCGAGCGUUGUCCGGAUUUAUUGGGCGUAAAGAGCGUGUAGGCGGCCAGGUAGGUCUGCUGUGAAAACUCGAGGCUCAACCUCGAGACGUCGGCGGAAACCAUCUGGCUAGAGACCGGAAGAGGAGAGUGGAAUUCCUGGUGUAGCGGUGAAAUGCGCAGAUAUCAGGAAGAACACCCGUGGCGAAGGCGGCUCUCUGGGACGGUACUGACGCUGAGACGCGAAAGCGUGGGGAGCGAACAGG